rnacentral:rRNA from 1 species
AACGAACGCUGGCGGCAUGCCUAACACAUGCAAGUCGAACGAGACCUUCGGGUCUAGUGGCGCACGGGUGCGUAACGCGUGGGAACCUGCCCUUAGGUUCGGAAUAACUCCCCGAAAGGGGUGCUAAUACCGGAUAAUGUCUUCGGACCAAAGAUUUAUCGCCUUUGGAUGGGCCCGCGUUGGAUUAGCUAGUUGGUAGGGUAAAAGCCUACCAAGGCGACGAUCCAUAGCUGGUCUGAGAGGAUGAUCAGCCACACUGGGACUGAGGCACGGCCCAGACUCCUACGGGAGGCAGCAGUGGGGAAUAUUGGACAAUGGGCGAAAGCCUGAUUCAGCAAUGCCGCGUGAGUGAUGAAGGCCUUAGGGUUGUAAAGCUCUUUUACCCGGGAUGAUAAUGACAGUACCGGGAGAAUAAGCUCCGGCUAACUCCGUG